AGCAUAGGACUGACAGUGUUGUGUUGUAUUUGGUUCGUUCUGUUAAGCUCUUGGAUUACCGAGUUUGGAUCAAUGCUACGUCUGGAAUAUGGUCAUAUUUGUUCGAUACAAAUUUCAUCCUGCUGUUUCUACUUUGGGAAUAAAAUUAGUUCUUUAAGUUCACGAAGGACAGCAGAUGUAUACUGAAAAUAUUGGUUUGGGUUGAUGUUUCCUUAAGUGUUCCUCUCACUUGAUUUGUCGAAAUAGCUUGCUAGAGACAUAAGAAACUUGCCUCGUUGCUUGUAAUUGAAUGAGCUUGUGACCGCAUUUUCAAUCUAAAAUCUUCUCUACUGGUAAAUGCAGAACUUUGAGUGAGGUCCAAGGCUCAUAAAGCUGUUUACAAUCACUCUCUUGUGACGAUGGUCGUGGAGUAUGCAUCUGUACUUUUUAUUUUGCAAGUUUACAUGUCAGAUUUGACAGAACUUUUUAGUUGGACAUGUCCUGGUUGUGAUGGAAAGACCAAGUAGGGGUUCUAAUUCAUUGAUCUGAUAGUUGACGUCCAGCACUGCUUAUAGGCAUCUAUUGGCGUGGCCAGGACCUUAAUGCUGCGGUUAUAGCUUUCGAAGGUACUCAAGAACAUAGGUUCAUCAUGGAUUUAUUAUGCUUGUCGCUAUACGACAGUGCAACCUGGUACUUUGGAUGCUGUUAGAAGAGCCAAGGAUUUGACAUCAACGUCAUGGUGACAGGGCAUUCUAUGGGAGGGCCUAUGGCAUACUUUUGCGGACUUGAUAUCAUGGUACGGCUGUAUAAUAUAGGAUUUGUUUGUCUAGUUUAUUAGGUCAAGAAAGUUUGUGAUGGCUCUGGAGAAGAUCCAAUUUGCAGCAGGUAAGGAGGUAGCUUCAGUCAUAGCUACCUGUUACAAGCAAUUAUUUUGUGGAUUUAUCAUGCUAGGUGCAAUAAGUCAUGUGACAGAUCGGCUUGUUCUAGAGAAUGCCAGUCUUUUAUUACCGGAAAUAUUUACGGAUGACUUAUCAUAGUAUGUUUCUGCAUAUUGGUAACUGGUAAUAGCCUCACGGACCAUUUACUCUACUAUGGUGCAAAAUUAAUGGCGGAGACGUGGGGAUCGUGCAAAAUUGUCAUGGACCCACGAUUCAAGGAAUAUGGAAGCGAAGACAAAGGAUACCUUAUGCUUUCCAGGAAUCCUUCUCCUUCUGCAUUGAGGCUGCGUGAAGACUCCGAUGCCAAGAGUAACUUAACGUAAAAUGCUCCCAAGUCAGCACCUAAUUUCGUGAAGAUCAUUAGGUAACUCUGGAUGAAGUUUGUUCAUGUAAUGCAUUCCAUCAAUCUGUUUCCAUGUCCAUCACAAGAUGCAUAGGAUCUCUACUAAAAUUCACUUGGAAUGUAAAUAGCAUGAAGUUGAAUGUAUCAUCCUUGUAAACACAACUUUGUGGUACAUAUUGAAUGAAUGCGCUCGCAAGUUUACCUGUCAA